CUCAGGUCAUUUUCUUUGGGCUCUGACAGUGGGAGGAAGACCCCAGCUUUGAAGGAGGACAGACAGUACUACCGUGUAACUCAUCAAUCACCAGAUGAAAAUCAUGGAGUUGGAGGACUCUGUUGGUGAGGUCUGCCCUGUCAGCCGCUUGAGUAAAGGAGAGAGAGAUUCCAGCCUGUGGUUGGUGGCUGUGUGACUUUGAGCCUGCGGUGGGAGCACAUGGUGGAGCUAAGCCAUUCUGUGAAGAGCCAAGAAACAAAAGUGGAGAGGACCAGGGUUUCACAACCCUCUCAAGGACAUCUUCCCAGUGACCUGAACACCGCCCAGGAAGCAACAUUCCUAAAGGUCUUACCA